AGAGUUUGAUCCUGGCUCAGAAAUCAACGCUUGGCGGCGUGCCUAACACAUGCAAGUCGCACGAGAAAGUGGAGCAAUCCAUGAGUAAAGUGGCGCACGGGUGAGUAACACGUGAAUGAUCUACCUCCGAGUGGGGAAUAACUGAGAGAAAUCUUAGCUAAUACCGCAUAACACUUACGAGUCAAAGCAGCAAUGCGCUUGGAGAGGAGUUCGCGGCCGAUUAGUUAGUUGGCGGGGUAAUGGCCCACCAAGACGAUGAUCGGUAUCCGGCCUGAGAGGGCGCACGGACACACUGGAACUGAAACACGGUCCAGACUCCUACGGGAGGCAGCAGUGGGGAAUUUUGCGCAAUGGGGGAAACCCUGACGCAGCAACGCCGCGUGGAGGAUGAAAUAUCUUGGUAUGUAAACUCCUUUCGAUGGGGAAGAUUAUGACGGUACCCAUAGAAGAAGCCCCGGCUAACUUCGUGCCAGCAGCCGCGGUAAUACGAGGGGGGCAAGCGUUGUUCGGAAUUAUUGGGCGUAAAGGGUGCGUAGGCGGUUUGGCAAGUCUUAUGUGAAAUCUCUGGGCUCAACCCAGAGUCUGCAUGAGAAACUGCCGGGCUUGAGUAUGGGAGAGGUGAGUGGAAUUUCCGGUGUAGCGGUGAAAUGCGUAGAUAUCGGAAGGAACACCUGUGGCGAAAGCGGCUCACUGGACCAUUACUGACGCUGAUGCACGAAAGCUAGGGGAGCAAACAGGAUUAGAUACCCCCGUAGUCC
rnacentral:rRNA from 1 species